rnacentral:rRNA from 1 species
UAGGGAAUCUUCCGCAAUGGACGAAAGUCUGACGGAGCGACACCGCGUGGAGGAAGACGGCCUUCGGGUUGUAAACUCCUUUUAUAGGGGAAGAAUAAAGGCAAUAGGAAAUGAUUGUCUGAUGACGGUACCCUAUGAAUAAGCCACGGCUAACUCUGUG